rnacentral:rRNA from 1 species
AGGACGAACGCUGGCGGCGUGCUUAACACAUGCAAGUCGAGCGGUAAGGCCUUUCGGGGUACACGAGCGGCGAACGGGUGAGUAACACGUGGGUGAUCUGCCCUGCACUUCGGGAUAAGCCUGGGAAACUGGGUCUAAUACCGGAUAUGACCUCCUAUCGCAUGGUGGGUGGUGGAAAGAUUUAUCGGUGCAGGAUGGGCCCGCGGCCUAUCAGCUUGUUGGUGGGGUAAUGGCCUACCAAGGCGACGACGGGUAGCCGACCUGAGAGGGUGACCGGCCACACUGGGACUGAGACACGGCCCAGACUCCUACGGGAGGCAGCAGUGGGGAAUAUGCACAAUGGGCGAAAGCCUGAUGCAGCGACGCCGCGUGAGGAUGACGGCCUUGGUUGUAAACCUCUUCAGCAGGACGAGACGCAAGUAGACGUACUGCAGAAGAAGACACCGGCUAACUACGU